GGUGAUCUGCUGAUGUGGCGACGAACAGACUGUAAAUCUGCCGGCUCAGCCUUCCUAGGUUCGAAUCCUAGCGCCGCCA
rnacentral:tRNA from 1 species